UGUCUGAUCUGCAAACCUACAAAGGAUCAUGUGCUCCUUGUAGGAUAAAAUUUCCUUGAACUGAUGACUUCUUGGAUAUUUAAACUUCAUGGUGUUCUGAAUGAAGCCAUAACAACAAGGGGAGAUGACAAAGGCUGCCCGAGCCUUGAUGCAAUGUUCGAUCACCAUGUCUGUUGCCACACCACAUGCAUGUAGAGCCACCCCAAUGUUAAAAGUGCCAUUAAAAUAGUCCAAAUUUGCUUGAAUAAAUGAAAUGUUGCUUAAACCUAGUUCAUCACUUCUGUCUUUAGCACGCAUCAGAGACAACUCCUUAUUUUCUAUGAGCACCACCUGACAUGAUGGCAUCAUGUGAGCAAGAACAAUUCCAACAUGACCCCCUCCACUGCAGAAAUCCAC
rnacentral:lncRNA from 1 species